rnacentral:rRNA from 1 species
UGUGAUCAGGCAACAAGGGCGCACGGUGGAUGUCUUGGCAUCGAGAGGCGAAGAAGGACGCGUGAACCUGCGAUAAGCCCAGAGGAGCCGGUAACAAGGCAGUGAUCCUGGGAUUUCCGAAUGGGGCAACCCACCCGCAAGGGUACUUGAUUCUGAAUGCAUAGGGAUCAAGAGCGAACGCAGAGAAGUGAAACAUCUCAGUAUCUGCAGGAAAAGAAAGCAACCGCGAUUCCGUGAGUAGCGGCGAGCGAAAGCGGAUCAACCCGACGACGCAUGAAGGCGUUGGAAUACGCCGCCUCAGAAGGUGAAAGCCCUGUAGGCGAAGUCGGGCCAGCCCUCGAGUAAAUUCGGGCUCGGGAAACCCGGAUUGAACAUGGGGGGUCCACCCUCCAAGGCUAAAUACUCCUCGAUGACCGAUAGCGAAUCAGUAAGGCGACUGAACGAUGAAAAGCACCGCGACGAGCGGAAUGAAAGAGUACCUGAAACCGUGCGCUUACAAGCGGUCGGAGCCCUCCGGGGUGACGGCGUGCUUUUUGCAUAAUGAGCCGGCGAGUUGGUCUGUACGGCGAGCCUAAGGCCUACCAGGCCGGAGGCGGAGCGAAAGCGAGUCCGAAGUGGGCGACAAGUCGUACGGGCCAGACGCGAAACCUUGUGAUCUACCGUUGGCCAGACUGAAGGGCGGGUAAAGCCGCCUGGAGGGUCGAACGGGUGACCGUUGAAAAGGUCUCCGAUGAGCUGACGGGAGGCGGUCAAAGUCCAAUCAAACUGGGAGAUAGCUCGUUCUCUCCGAAAUAACUUUAGGGUUAGCCUCCGGGAGCAAGCAGUGGAGGUAGAGCGACUGAAUGAGAGAUGGGGUCUACCCGACUACCUCUUUCAAUCAAACUCCGAAUGCCACUGCCCAAGUCCGGGGAGAUAGACGGCGAGUGACAAUAUCCGUCGUCAAAAGGAGAAAAAUCCAGACCGCCAGCUAAGGCCCCGAAUCUCUGCUAAGUUCGAAAGGAAGUCACGUUGCGAUGACAGCCAGGAUGUUGGCUUAGAAGCAGCCACCAUUUAAAGAGUGCGUAACAGCUCACUGGCCGAGGAAUGUGGCGCCGAUAAUGAUCGGGAAUAAGCAGGGAGCCGAAGCUGCGGACGCGAAAGCGUGGUAGGAGAGCGUUCCUGGUGCGGUGAAGCGGUUCCGUAAGGGGUCGUGGAGCGCUAGGAAGUGAAUAUGCCGGCUUAAGUAACGAUUAAACGGGUGAAAAUCCCGUUCGCCGCAUGCCCAAGGUUUCCUGGGGAAGGUAAAUCCGCCCAGGGUUAGUCGGGACCUAAGGCGAGGCCGAAAGGCGUAGUCGAUGGACAUCAGGUUAAUAUUCCUGAACCGUCGUCGGGAACGGAUUUCCAAGCUCCGCGGGACUGCUAGAUGUCCAGGCCCUUGUGGCCGAUGCGGGGGGAGGGAGUCCCUAGAAAAACCGACGACAAGCCCGUACCAAAACUGACACAGGUGGGCGAGGCGAAUAGCCUCAGGCGCUCGAGAGAACGGUCGUGAAGGAACUAGGCAAAUUAACCCCGUAAGUUCGCGAUAAGGGGGCCCUCGCCGCAAGGCAGGGCGCAGAGAAGAGGAUCUGGGAACUGUUUAUCAAAAACACAGCACUGUGCCAACUCGCAAGAGGAAGUAUACAGUGUGACGCUUGCCCAAUGCCGGAAUGUCAAGGAAGCGGUUCAGCGCAAGCGAAGAUCGUGACCGAAGCACCGGCGAAUGGCGGCCGUAACUAUGACGGUCCUAAGGUAGCGAAGUUCCUUGUCGGGUAAGUUCCGACGCGCAUGAAUAGCGUAAUAACUGGAUCACUGUCUCCACGACCGACUCGGUGAAAUAGUAGUGGCGGUGAAGAUGCCGCCUACCCGCAGCAAGACGGAAAGACCCCGUGGACCUUCACUAUAGGCUCCUGUUGGCCACUAGCAUAUUCUGCGUAGCAUAGGUGGGACGCUUUGACGACCCGGUUCCGGCCGGGUAAGAGCGAUCGGUGAAAUACCACCCUGAGUAAGUUGGUGGCCUAACCUCGAUUCCCGUGAAUCCGGGCGAGGGACAGCUGGUGUCGGGUAGUUUGACUGGGGCGGUCUCCUCCAAAAAGGUAACGGAGGAGUGCAAAGGUCGGUUCAGCACGGAUGGCAACCGUGCCCUGAGUGCAAGAGCAUAAACCGGCUUUACUGCGAGUCCGACGGGACGAGCAGUUACGAAAGUAGGCUCUAGUGAUCCUGCGAUCCCGUGUGGAAGGGUCGUAGCUCAACGGAUAAAAGGUACCCCGGGGAUAACAGGCUGAUCGCGCCCGAGCGCCCAUAGCGGCGGCGCGGUUUGGCACCUCGAUGUCGGCUCAUCACAUCCUGGGACUGAAGGCGGCCCCAAGGGUUCGGCUGUUCGCCGAUUAAAGUGGUACGCGAGCUGGGUUCAGACCGGCGUGAGCCAGGUCGGUCCCUAUCUGCUGUGGGCGUCGCAAGCUUGACCGGAGUCAACCUUAGUACGAGAGGAUUGGGUUGGACGUACCCCUGGUGAUCCAGUUGGACUGCUAAGUCCACAGCUGGGUAGCUACGUACGGCAGGGAUAACCACUGAAAGCAUCUAAGUGGGAAGCCCCCCGGAAGAUGAGGCUUGCUUGUCGCAAGACGAAAGACCCCUGGAAGACCACCAGGUUGAUCGGCCGCGAGUGUAAAGGCUGAAAGGCCCUCAGCUGAGCGGUACGAACGGUCGAAUGUCUGGUCAC